CCUGUUUGUUUCCACCAAGGGUGAAGUAGUCAAGCCAGUUCCUCUUACACAGUGAAACAGGGCAAUUUUAAGGAAGAACUUACAAGAAAAAGUAUCAACUCCAUCAAAAUGGCAGAAAACAUACCUUGACAUUAAUAUUCAAAAUUCUACUUUCUGCUUAUUACCAUACCUUGUAAGAACUGUGUUACACUUAUUAAGAAAAUACGUUUUCUUAAAUAAAUUAGAUUUGAAAAACUUAGGUUUUUCUUAAGUAAAUCCAGUGUUUCAAUGUAUUCUCAUCAUGUUUUGUUUCUGGUACAAUCAAGCAGCCCUGCAUCCUAUCGAUUCUUGGUUCUAUGUAUACAAUAUUUAAUAAAUUGUGUUGUACUUAUACAAGAGAUGCAACUUUGUAGUGUGCUCAGCAUAACAAAACUAACAAUACUAAUGGGAACAGAAAUGACCAAAAGGUUGUUCCAUCCUGGGUUGUAAUUCUGCUUCCCCUGUGGGCAAUACUAAAUGAUCAUAACAACCACUGGAGUUGCAAGAUUCACAUUUUGAAUUGUUCUAAGUAGAUGGAGUCAAACUUAAAUGUCUUAAGCUGCUGUAUGAAAAUGCAGGUUGAUUUCCAACUUUGUCCCAAGUCUGUCUCUUUUAGAGAAACUCUCGAACUACUAAUGAAUUAGGAGUGUUGAUAGCACUUUCAAUCUGGACUGUGGGGAUUUAUAAAUUGCCAAAUAGCAGACAAGUAUUUUAGUCUUUCUUAUAAAACAAAACAAAAUCAGAUCUUUUUUGGGUAUAAAUUAGUAAUGAAGAAAGAAACUAUUGUAGAAUAGGUACUCUUAUAUACUGGUGGUAUGAUUAUAAACUGGUACAAUCUCUUUAGAUUUGUGACUUAGAAAUACAUUUUUUUUUUUUUUUAAGAGACAGGGUCUUGCUCUGUUGCCCAGGCUAGUGUGCAAUGGCGUGAUCUUAGUUCACUGCAGCCUCAAACUCCUGGGCUCAAGCAAUCCCCCCUCUUCAGCCUCCUGAGUAGCUGGGGCUACAGGCACACACUACCACACCUGGCUAGUUUUAAAUAUCUUUUUGUAAAGACAGUGUCUUGCCAUAUUACCCAGGCUGGUUGAACUCCUGGCCUCAAGUGAUCCUCCUGCCCCAGCCUCCCAAAGUCCUGGGAUUACAGGUAUGAGCAACUGCGCCUAGUCAAAUGUAUUAUUUAAACAUACACACAUACACACACUCUAACAUGGAGUCUUUCGUUAUGUUUAUAACUCUUAACUUAGUUGGGAAUCUACACCAAGAAAGUAAUACGAAACACAAAAAUAUUUUAAGCCCAAAGAUAUCUUUAUAACUGCAGAAAAUGCACAAGUGUAUUUUGACACACCAAUGAAUAUUGUUUAAAUUUUUAGUAAUUUGAAUCAAUGGAAACAGAAUCAUUGCUAGGGAAAUCAGAGAUCAUUUUUGUCUUUUAUUUGUAAUUUUCAAACUUCUAUAAUAAGGAUGCUAUUUAAAUAAGAUAAAAAAGUAUACAGAUGGUCCCUAACUUAACUUAUGAUGGUUUGACUUAUGUUUGUUUGGCUGGAUGACUGGGUUAUUAGGGUAUUAAAUGCAUUUUCGAUAUGCGCAUUUCUCAGGACGUAACCCCAGUGUAAGUCAAGCAGCAUCUAUAUAUACAAUAUUAACAAUUAUGUUUAAAAAUGCAUGAUCAAUAAACUAAGAAAAA